ensembl:lncRNA
UACCUCUUUGUGUAAAUAUUCUGUCACUGUAAUAAAUGUUUGCUGUGUAUUGUUAUGGUUUGGAGAUACAGGAUUUUCUGAAGAGCUCAUGUUCUAGAGGCUUGAUAGUCAGUGGAUGAAUUCAGAAAGUGACUGCAUCAUAAGGACUCUAAUUGUAUCAGUGGGUUAGUGUAUUUAUGGAGUCACAUGUUAAUGACAUUAUUCAAAAGUGGUGGAGACUAGGUAUUUUCUUGGAGGAAGCAGUUCACUAUGGGCAUGCCCUGUAAGGGUUUGUCUUAUCUCUGUUUCUUUGUGUUAAGGUUUGAUAUCUUGCUAGAAUUGUAAUGCAAGUGUGGGCCCCCAAGACCUGGUUGCCCCAGAGAGGACAGAGUGUGCCCAUAGACCCAAGUGAGAAGUGAGGCUAUGUGAUCUUGCUCCCAUUUCUGAUUUGUAAAUAAAGAUGCCUGCAGCCUAUAGCUGAGCAGAAUUGAGAUAUGUGGUGCUUGGUGUUCCCAGUCUGGAGGAUGGAGGAAACCACAAGAAGAGGAAGAAGAGAGAAGAAAGACUCCAUGAGUUAGGAGUUGAGAAACAUGGCUCUGAGAGCUGGCAAACUGGAGUUAAGAGCAGUCUGAAUGAAAAAUAGUAAAUAAUAACUUGGGGUUAUUGAUAGGAAAGUAGAUUCUAAUAGCACAGAGAGUAGAUGCCUAGCUCUUGUGCUGAUUAAGACUUAUUAUAAAUAUAAUGGUGAAUGUCUUUUAUCUAGGAACUAAAUGGUGAAAGUGGGAUAGAAACCCUGGAUUGGGAUUAAAUUUAUUCUACAACACUUUUCAUUCUUUCCUUGCUUUGUGGUCACCAUGAUGUGAGCAGUGCUUUCCACAGUGACAAUACAGCCUCUUUACAGGAUUAAUGCAAAGGUAUGUGUACUAGCAUAUGCAUUAACUCACAUACAAGAAUGAGUGCAAAGGUAUGUGUACUAGCAGAUGCAUUAACUCACACACAAGAAGGAAUGAGUGCAAAGGUAUGUGUAUUAGCAUAUGCAUCAACUCACAUACAAGAAUGAGUACAAAGGUAUGUGUACUAUGCAUUAACUCACACACAAGAAGGAAUGAGUGCAAAGGUAUGUGUACUAGCAGAUGCAUUAACUCACACACAAGAAUGAGUGCAAAGGUAUGUGUACUAGCAGAUGCAUUAACUCACACACAAGAAGGAAUGAGUGCAAAGGUAUGUGUACUAGCAGAUGCAUUAACUCACACACAAGAAAGAAUGAGUGCAAAGGUAUGUGUACUAGCAUAUGCAUUAACUCACACACAAGAAGGAAUGAGUGCAAAGGUAUGUACUAGCAUAUACAUCAACUCACACACAAGAAUGAGUGCAAAGGUAUGUGUACUAAGUGCAUAUGCAUCAACUUACACACAAGAAGCUUUUGUUACAGCAAAACAUUUAGCCAGGAUCCAAAUAGAGAAAAGAGGGCUCUGAAGUUCCACUCCGUUCUGAUUCACUUAAAAACUCAGUUAUCUAAGAUUUCCCUAUGUGGUACCUCCUGAAUUGGUUCUACUAAACCAGUUCUCAAUUAUGCUCUGGACUAGGGGUACAGUCUUUAAUGCAGAGACCUAUGUGGAAGAUUUAGCCAAAUGUGGCUGUUUACAGGCCUCUUUUCUUUAUCCACUCAGAUACUCUUUAUUUUUGCUGCUUUUCAAACUACAAGGAAGUACUAAUUUUACAUUUUGAGUAGGGCUCCAUAUGUAUAGUAUUAGACUUUUAUAUAUUAUAAAAGCUUUUUAAAAGGAUGAAUAUGCAUGUAUUAAGUGUAUGUUUGUGAGCUUGUGCACACACAUUCAUGCAUGUAGUUCUUAGAGACACAGAAUUUGCCUUCUGAUCUUGACUGGAAAUCUUGUUGUUUUUCAAACUCUAAGCGAGAGAUAAUAAUAUCUUCCUGAUAGACUUAUUGCUAGUCUUAAAUAACAUAAGACAUGUAGAGUGCUUGGCAAGGUGCCUGGCAUAUAAAACGUCUCAGUAAACAUCAUGAAACACAUUCCUGUGAAAUAGAGUCACUUACUCUAGUCCUGCAGAGUAGCAGAAAACGAAAGCAUAAAGAAAUAAAAAUCGCGUCCAGUUCUGAAAGCUGCAUUUGUGGUGGUUAAUUUUGUGCAGGUACAUAAAGCAUAGGAUAGAGAUGAGUUCUUGCUUUGUCCUCUUAGUGAAUGAAAAAAUAUUCCUUUUGACAAUUGUAGAGUGUUAUCCCCUGAGUACUGCAGGAUGUCUUGACCAGAGCAGAUGUGACUGUAAGAACUCCCAAGACCGUGUCUAUGGACUGUUCAUGUUGCCUCAUAAAAUGAGGGGUGGAGAGAGUUAUUAACCUCUACCCGAAUGUCCAGGUGGUCCCUUCUACAACUCUCAGCAGCCUGUAUGUGAUUGUGCACUAAGAGCACAUGAUAGCCAUAUGGUCUCGGGGGUACCAGAAUAUAUGGAAGGUAGAAGGUGACCUGAAGUGGGGAAGCCAUCAGCUGUGACAAAGUCAUCACCACACAUUCUAGGGUAAGGCUUUUCCAUGAUGUGGUCAGUAAGUCCUUAACCUGUGUACUGGAGACAAUUGCUCAGUAAACUCAUGACUCUAUUGAGAUGUUCCUCAGUGAAAUUGUGCUUUGUGGAGAGCGGAGUAAGCCCUGAAUGAAGGGAAUGAACGAAGUACUGACUGAACAUGCUUCAUCGACGUGAGCACAGCCAUGUCAACUGCCCCAAUGUCUUAGACCCAUGGAACAUGAAAGCCUUACCAAGGUCAGGUUCAGGGAUUGGAAAAGCUUUCCUCUCUUGUCUGCUUAUGAAGAUAUGCAGUGCAUACAGAAAGCAUCAACCACAGUUUCCUCUUCAGAAUGGGUGUGGCCAGAGGCUACAGACACCUACCAAGUUUAGGUAAGCCUGACUCCUCCUUCAACUGCAUACAAGAAACUCUCCUCAAUUCAGAUUUAUAAAUAAAUAACAGCAGUGGGUGUUCUCCACCAGAAAGGAGGCAGCUUAUCUAGUGCCAGUGUUUCUUUACACAUGUUGGGGGUGUCUCUCCUUUCUUCACCACUUCUUGUUCUGGUUAGAUCAGUCCCUAAGGUUGUACACAGCCUGGCAUAUGGAACCUGACAAAGUGGGAAUCUAGGCACUCUGAAAUUUCUUCUACAGGUCAUUUUGCCUCCUGGGAUUUUUGCAUAUCUCUGGAAUUAUUGCAGUGUGCGUCAGAUUCUGUUCCAGUUUUGUGUUCUGACUGUAGACCAGUUAUAGGCUUGGUUGGGGAUGGAUAAGUUUGCUUCUACUCACUCACCUCGCGUCAUACCUCAGUCUUCACACACAAUGCUUGGCAUUAGAGAAAAGGUGAUCUGAGAUAUUCUGUGUGAUUUAAAAAAAAAGAUUUCAAACCUUCAUCCAUGUAAAUUACCAUGUCUCCCAGCUUAGCCACAUUUAGCUAGAUUUCUUUGAUGUGAUGCCUCCAGAGAUUAGGGAUUUGAGGAAAGAUUUCACCCUUAUAUUUUAAUGUUCAUUGUACACUGCUCAUAUGUACAUUGUAUAUUGAGCUUCCAGAGUGCAUCUUUGUGUGUGCAUCUGUCUCUCUUUAUUAUUUUUCUAUCUCUGGUUGAGCAAUACUUUCAUAGAUGCAUUGCUCGUCAAUUCUUCCUUGUCACUGUGGAUGACAUCCCUCUUCUCCAGCAUUAACUUCUUACUUAGUGAUGGUCGUUGAUAUGAGGAGCCAUACAGCUGCAUACAGGUGGUGUAGGAUGUCUUUACUUCUCUCAACGUACAAUUAUCACUGUGUUUGCUUUAUAGCUGGCAGUGAGCCUGCCUCUCUUAGCAACUAAGUUGUCUUAAUCACACAGAUGCAAUGUCUAUAGUGUCUGUGUAGCAGUAUUUCACAUUUACUGUGUCUGGGGCUUGAGGAAGAAAUGACACUUUACAGCAACAGGAAAUGAGUUCUGCAGAACUGGCAGGAACUCAGCAUUGUAGAAGAAAACCAAACGCAACAACUACUGAGAAUUCAGAUGCAAGAAGAAGAGAAAUUUAUCUGCUGAAAUAGCUGAACUAAGAAAAGAACCUUUAAGGGGGUAAAAGGAAAAUGGAGAAAUAAUAAGACGAAUGCAUCUUCUGAACAUGUCUUCCUUAGGGCAGCAAGAGUAGAACAGGAGGACAAUCAGAGUUCUACGUUCCAUUUUUUUUAAAGACUUCAUUUUUCCCAGAACAACCUUUUUUCCUUUAUAACACUAUGUUCAAAACAUAACUUUUGCUCUUAAUAUUUUUAUAUAUGUAGCAAGUGUCCUCAGAGAUGUGAGAGCACAGAUGUUAUUGAUCUUGAGAGCAUCUUCCGAAGCCUACAGGUUUAAUGCCUUAGUGCACGGAUGCUGCAGAGGGCUGUACAUGACCUGAAGGACUAAGUAUCCAUCCAAUGUCCCCUCACCUUGAGUCAAAAUAAUGCCCGGCUGCUUAAGCAGCUAUCUUUGCCAGUUUGGUUGAUUUUCUGAAUGAUGACAGACAUUUAUUUUUAUCUGGUCUUACUUAAUUUUUGCUGAAGAAUUAGUUUGUACAAAGUUUGCCUAAACAAGCUCCACUUCCUGAAGCUAUGAUUACACAUCAAUAUAUCUCCAGUGUGAUGAUCUUGAAGGGAUUCAUGACAAGAUUCAUAGGGAGAAGGAAAAUCGUCAAGAAAAACGCCAGACCUUCUGAGAAUUACAGACUACUUAGAAGGAGGUCCCUAGCACCUUGCAGUAGAUGUGUAGAACCAAGAAAUGACAGAACUACAGACUGUCUAUAGUGUGCUUAAAUUCAUUCUGAGAACAGGGAGUGUAAAAGAAGGAGGGAGGUGGUGGAAAAAAAUCUUUUGAAAGACAGUGAGAAAGGAUUUGGGGGCAUGAGCUGUAUUCUUCAUUCUAUGCAGUGUAAGACUCUUAAAAAAGAACAAAAAGUUUAAAAGGAAGUUUCCUCUCUGAUAACAGCAAAUAAUUAUUCUGGAAAACUGGGGUUUACAGCUUGCAGUGUUAUAAAAAUCAAAAUAAAAUCUGAGGUGCCACAAAGUUUAACUGAUAGAAAUUUGAGAAUUCUCAGUUGGUGGGAACUGCACUGUGAGGAUGAAUGUCAGCACAGAGCAGCGGCAGAGCACUGAAGGGUGAUUACAGCAGGGUAGGGAACUGGAUUUAGAGCCUGAAUAUUCAGGUUGGGAUGAAAGCCUUACCAAUUUCAAACUCUAUAUUCACUUUAGAAAAGCUAAUUAGUAUAUUAGAGUCUUAGUUUCACCCAGCAUACAUGCGAUGUCUAUCAUACCUUUCAAGGUUGACUGUCAACUCCAUUAGGAAUAAUGGCCACUUGACUUUGGCAACUUCUUUUUUCUUUCCUGCUGAUAUUAUAAUUCCUCCUGAAUUCAUGAUACACACUGCAAGCCACUGUGGUAAUUACUUCUUCACAUGUGCUCAACACCUCUUUUUCUGUUCUUCAAAUGCAUUUGGCAGACUCAGUAUUCCCACAACCCCCAGUCUCCACAUGCAUUGCACUCGCACUCAAGAAUCUGAAGAGAGCUGAAACAUGAAAAUCAGAGUGGCUUCACAACCAGCAUUGCUAAGGAGAUGUUGAGCACUCCAUGCUAAAAAUUUACCUGAAGGAGAAGUGUUGGAGCCCUGUAUCUUCCUUUAUCCUUCCUUGUUUUCUUCUUUCUCUGAUUCUGUUUCAUUUUCCUUAUCCCCUGUAUCUCUGUCUCUGUCUCUCUGUGUCUCUGUCUCUGUCUCUGUCUGUGUCUCUGUCUCUCUCUCUCUCUCUUUCUCUCUCUCUCUGUGUGUGUGUGCAUGUAUCUAUCUUUGUUCAUAUUAUUUAGUUGUUUGAGGAUAUCUAAGUUUUAUCUUAAAAUCUAUGAGUAAUUUUAAAAACAAUCUCACUUUGCUCUGAGUUCAUGCUUCUUAGCGUGAGAGGACCCCCCUCCCAUGGGAUGUAGACCUUCAGCUUUCUGUCACUGGAACAAGAUGUCUGAAAUAAUUUAAAAUAAUUAACUUCAAAAGAGGGGGAGUUUCUGUUGGCUCACAGUAUGGAAAUUUUUCUUAAUGGUGAGGUGGUUUAUGCUCUUCAGCCUGUGAGAUAUAUACAAAACAAUAUAUUCUGAUGGGACCAUGUGGGAGGUCUGUCCACCUUGGUGUAAUGAUUCAUUCCCAUAACCCGAGAACCUAGGAGAUAGUGGGAAUAACCAUGAUUUCAAGGCCAGGUGGGGUUAUAAGGCAAGCCCUGUUAUAAAUAAAUGCAUAUUGACACACGUAUAUAUUCUGAAUCAGUACUGAAGUCAUUUAAAAUUCAGCAAGUUAUACAUUGAUACUAAGGAGAAGGUUAUAUAAUAUAAUACAUGUUCCUCAAGCAAAGAAUGGCUACAGAAAGCAUGGUUAAUUUACACAGUGGAAUACUACUCAGCAAUUAAAAACAAGGGCAUCAUGAAUUCUGUAGACAAAUGGAUGGAACUAGAAAAUAUCUUGAGUGAGGUAACCCAGAUCCAAAAGGACAUGCAUGGUAUGUACUCACUGUUAAGCAGAUAUUAGCCAUAAAUAUAGAAUACCCAUGAUACAUCCCACAUAUCCAAAGAUGUUAAACAAGAAGGUGGGUUCAAUCAAGGAUGUUUGAAUCUCACUUAGAAGGGGAAACAAAAUAGUCAUGAGCAGAGAAGGGAGGGAGGAACCUGGGUAUAAAAAGAGAGGGAGAAGAGCAUGUGGGGACCUGAUCAGGUGUGGGGAGAGACAAGAGAGAAGCUGAGAGCAAGAGGAAAAGGAAUGGAAUUCUUCAGUUGCUGGUCAGUGUUACCAGGGCUGCAGAGAAUCUCUAGGAAGUCCUCAAUACCUGUGGUGAGAGAGGUUCCUAGGAAUUGAUGUGGGUGACCUUAGCUGAGAUGUCUAGGGAACUUGGAACCUGAAGAGGCCCCCCUCCUGUAGCCAGGCAGGAUUCCCAGUGGAUGGAUCAGAACACCAACUCACCAACAAAACUUUUGACCCCAAAUUUGUCCUGUCUAAAAGAAAUGCAGGGACAAAGAUGGGGCAGAGACUGAAUGGAUGUCCAACCAAUAACCAGCCCAAUGGAAACUCAUUCCAUGGACAAGCACACAAUUCCUGACUCUAUUAAUCAUCUCUGUUAUGCUUGUAGUCAGGAACCUAGCAUAACUGUCAUCUGAGUGGCUCUAUCCAGCAGCUGAUGAAAGCAGGUUCAGAUACUCACAGCCAAACAUUGGACAGACUUGAGGAUCCCAAUGGAAGAGUUGGGGGAAAGAUUGAAAACUGUGAAGGGUAGAUAGGCUCUUCACAGGAAGAUAAAGAGAGUUAGCUAACCUUAACUUCUUGCAACUCUUAGAGACUGAGCCACCAACCAAAGAGCAUAUGUGGACUGGACUGAGGCCUCCAGCAUUUAGAUAGUAGACGUGCAGCUCAGUUUCCUAGUGAUGUCCCAACAACUAGAGUGGAGACUCUCCCCUAAAGCCUGACUGUGGUAUCUGUUCCCCAACAGGACUGGCUUAUCUGGCCUCAGUAGAAAAGGAUGCCCUUAAUCCUGUAGAUAUUUGAUGAAUUAGGAUGGGGGAAUACCCAAAGAGAGCCCCACCAUCUCAGAGAAGAAGGGGAGGGGGCAUGGAAGGAGGGACACUGUGAGGGGGGACCAGGAGAAGGGUAGCAUUUGGGACAUAAAUUGAUAAAUUAAAAAGAAAAGAAAAACAAGUGACAAGAAAUAGGAACCAUCCAUUUUAUAUAUAACACACAUCACAUCCUUCUUGCACAAGGUAAUGAUGAAAUUGAUGAGCUAUUAAUAGGAAAUGUGCUAGAAGCUUUAGAUUUUCAUCAAAAACACCAUGCUAACAACAGAUAUUUAAAGGAAAAGUUGUUUUUUUAAAGAUGUAUCACUUGGCAACAAGCCAAGAAAAUUGUAAGGGAAUGUUCUGCUUAUUCUAUAUAUAACUAAACUCCAUUACCUGCAGGAAAUAACCCUAAAAGUAUCCGAGGAAAUGAAAUUUGCCAAAUGGAUAUGUUUCAUUUUGUGGAGUUUGGUAAACUAAAACAUGUGUACCAUACUGUAGACAUAUAUUAAGGAUUUCGAUGGACAACUGCUUUAAGUUCUGAAAAGGCUGAUUCUGUAAUUAUUCAUUUAUUAGAAGUUAUGGCAAUUAUGAAUUAUCUGUACAAAUUAAGACUGACAGUGCUCAGUAAAAUGAAGCAAAUUUUUACAUGUUAGAAUAUAAAGCACAUCGCAGAUAUACCACAAAUCCUACAGGAUGAGUAGUUGUGAAGAGAUCCAAUCAUACUUUAAAAGAGGUGCUAAACAGACAGAAAGGGUAACAAAGUCCCUAGUGCUUUGCUACCCAGAUUACAUAGUGUUUUAUUGAUUUUAAUUUCUUGAAUCCUGAUGAACAAAACCCAACUGCAGCUGAAAGAUAUUGGACUAUGGAGACAACUGCUGCACUAAAUCAGCCUGUUUAUAUUAAGAAUGCUCUAACCUAAGAAUAUGUUAAGCUGGAGAAGAUGUCUUGUAUAUGUUUAUACAUGAGAAAGGAUAUGAUGACAUGGGGAGACCUAGGGAGACUGUGGCUGCAGACUGGAAGAAAUCAGCAGAACUGACAAGACAGGUAAUGCAUAUGCUGAUUCCUCUACUUGGGAACAGCUCUGAGCCCAGCUGAGAUGUGAAAAUGUCCCCAUUCAGAGUUCAGCUAUUCAUGGCCAAUACAUGCCAUCCUUUCAUUAUGGCAUAGAUGGAGAUUUAUAUUGCAGUUUAGUUUUACAGCCCAAACUGGAAUAAGGAAGACAAGUGUCUUCCACAUGCUCAAAGAGCAAGACAUCACCUCUAACCAAUCACUGCACUUUGUUCUUUCCAUACAUAUGUUAUUGCAGAAAUGUGUAUCACUUGUCAGAGUUCAUAUGUUUACAAAACCUAAGGACCAGACACCAAGGAGGUGACCUGGACAAGAGUCACCCUUCAGGAUGCUGAAUUGUGAGAUAGAUUCAUCCUAGCAUCUAGCUUGAUCCAGUCUCAGACUGCCUCAGUUGUUGUUUCAUCAAAACUUGCUUCUUGGAGAGUUUCAAAGCAGCUAGCUCACCUGGUCUAUCCUUAGAGACUGUUCCAAUCAGAACUUCAUUUAAACCUUCAUUUUUUUAUAGCAUUUAGAGAUGGGACAACAAAUGUUGCAGCUGGUUUUCUUAAUACUUGACUACGUCUCCAAUUUCUUUUACUCCACUCCCACCCCAAACAAACAAACAAACAAACAAACAAACAAACAGCAACAACAAAACCAUGUCCAAAGUCAGCAGGAAGCAAUUUUAAGAAAAUGACACCCUAUCCUAGUAGGAGGGGUAGAUAGUUCUUUGGUCCCUCAGUAGAUUCUGGAUGUUCGUUGUUGCUUAAGGGGAUUGGUUGGAAGUGGUCAAUGGUCUGGAUUAGGAAGAAAACAAGGUAUAGUAGGUUAGAUGCAAGGAUUUCUCUCUCUUUAGAGUUGAAAAUAAGAACAAGGGAAUAUAAGCAUAAUAUAGGAACACUAGGAAUACAGGUAGACUAUCGAAUCUACUCUUAAACAAGAGAGCUACUACUAGUCAAAAAUCCUACAUUGAUAUAGAUCUUCGUAUAUUGAUACAAAACUAGUUAUAUCUGGUUACAACGUAUUAGGUAUAUAUUUCAACUCUUGUAUAAAGUAUUGUACCUAUGCAACUCAUUUAAAAAAUGCAAUGUUAGCUCUAGUCACUUAUAAACUGCUAUUACAAUCUGUCCAGGAUAAUUAAGAAAUGCAACUUAAUAAGUAGUCAAUCAAACUCAUGGUCAUGUCAGAUAUUAGUCUAGUUAUUCACAGAAAUAUGCCUUCUAAGUUGAACAGAUAGUAAAUAGAUAGAGACAAGCAAUGUUUGUCUCAAGCAAAAUCAGCUUUACAAAUGCCUCCAGAACUUUAAUCAUGAAGGUAUAUUGAAAUGUGUCAAAUGAAUUUUUGCAUUUAUUGAGAAGAUUACAUGAUAUCUGUUCUUAAAUUUAUUUAUGUGAUGUGUUAUAUUUAUUGGUUUGCAUAUGCUGAACCAACAUUGUACCGAUGUGAUGAAACCCACUCGGUUAUGAUAUGUGAUUUAUUUUGCAAAUUAUUAUUAUUUUUUAUUUACAUUUUAAACGUUAUCCCCUUUCCCGGUUUUCCCUCCAGAAACCUGAAUCUCAUCCCCCUCACCCUGCUUCUGUGAGAAUGCUAUGCCACCUAUCCACCCAUGCCCUCCCACCUCCCCGCACAGACAUUUCCAUACACUGGGGCUUCAAGCCUAAACAGGACCAAGGGCCUCUCCUCCCAUUGAUGCCCAACAAAGCCAUCCUCUGCUACAUAUGUGGAGCAAACUACAUGAAACUCAGAAAGAAGGAAGACCAAAUUGUGGAUGCUUCAGACCUUCUUUGAAGGGGAACAAAAAUAUUCAUAGGAGGAAAUAUGGAGAUGAAGUGUGGAUCAGAGACUGAAGGAAAGGCCACCCGGAGACUGCCAUAUGUCCAUCCUGUGUAGUCCCUGGGAGCUCCAGACGAUCUGGUUGUUUGAGGUUGUUGUUCUCCUUAUGCGGUUGCAAACCCCUUCAGCUACUUCAGUCCUUUCUCUAGCUCCUCCAUUGGGGACCCCAUUCUCCGUUCAAUGGUUGGCUGCAAGCAUCUGCCUCUCUAUUUGUCAUGCUCUGGCAGAGCCUCUCAGGAGACAGCUAUACCAGGCUCCUGUCAGCAUGCACUUCUUGGCAUCCACAAUACUGUCUGGGUUUGGUGUCUGUAUAUGAGAUGAAUCCUCAGGUAGGGCAGUCUCUGGGUGGCAUUUCCUUCAGUCUCUGUUCCACACUUCGUCUCCAUAUUUCCUCCUAUGAAUAUUUUUGUUCCCUUUCAAAGAAGGUCUGAAGCAUCCACAAUUUGGUUUUCCUUCUUUUUGAGUUUCAUGUAGUUUGUGAAUUGUAUCUUGGGUAGUCCAAGCCUUUGGACUAAUGUAUGCUUAUCAGUGAGUGCAUACCACGUGUUUGUGUGUGUGUGUGUGUGUGUGUGUGUGUGUGUGUGCGCACGCGUGUGCGUGUGUUUAUAUAAUUGGCUUACCUCACUAAGGAUGACAUUUUUUAAAAAUUUUUAUUAGAUAUAUUUCUUUACUUACAUUUCAAACUUUAUUCCCUUUCCUGGUUUCCUGUCCAUAAGCCCCAUUCCCUCCCAUCCCCCUCCCCCAUAUGAGUGUUAUCCCUAUACAUUCCCCUUAUUGCUCCCCACUAUAUAUUCCCCUGCACUGGGGGUCCAACCUUGGCAAGAUCAAGGGCGUCCUCUUCCCCUGGUGCCCCAAUAAGGCUAUUCUCUGCUACAUAUUCAGUUGGAGCCCUGGGUCAGUUCAUGUAUAGUCUUUCGGUAGUUUUUAGGCCCUGGAAGCUCUGGUUGGUUGGCGUUGUUGUUUUUAUCUGGUUUAAAGCUCCUUCAAUUCUUUCAAUACUUCCUCUAAUUACCCCCAAAUGGGGUCCUAAUCUCAGUUCAGUGGUUUGCUGCUAGCAUUGACCUCUGUAUUGGACAUGCUCUGGAUGUGUCUCUCAGGAGAGAUCUAUAUCUGGUCCCUUUCAGUAUGCAUUUUCUAG